CGGGGGUACCGGGAGGGGACACACGGGGGUACCGGGCAGUGACACACGGGGGUACCGGGCAGUGACACACGGGGGUACUAUAUUUCCUUUCUUUCUUUUACAUUUUAUAAAUAGUCCAGCUUUCCUACAGCUUUUUUCCUGGCCUGGUGACUCAUCAUCGACUCAUCAUACUUGUUGCUUCACUUAAAUAGGACAUUGAAAAGGGCGUUUAAGCAUCUCUUGCUUAAAUUAAAAAAAAAAAAAAAAAAGUCCCCCCAGCUGCAGAUUAACAACUGACCACUUCAUGCUGAAACUGAAAUAAUUCCUGCUGUCCCAUGGCUGGGAGGUUCAUGCUAAGAUGAAUCAGUGAGAGGCAGAGCAAUGCUAUCCAGGCCAGCCAGUCUGUACGUGAUCCUCCUUUCUGCCUGCCUGGAUUCCCUCUGGGUAUUUCCAGACGAUAACAAUUUCUUUCUCCUCCUUAGUUCAAUGACCGGUAUUUUUUGACUCAUGUACUGCAUUGAGAAUUUCACAGGGAUGCCACAGUUGUCCAUUUAUUUUAAAAAAAUUGCAUGACUUUUCCAGCAUGGUUCCUAGCAGAAGCACAUGGAGGUGUGAGUCCCAGUUUUGGACUGCUGCCAAGCCAGGCUGGGGGUUUGGUGGGUGCUGGAAGGGAAGGCUCUGCUCUGGGCUGCAGAAGCUGGUGAAGAACCAAGAGCAGAGUGAUGCCAGAAGGUGAGGUGACAGGGUGACUGUCACCUGCAGGUGGAAGGAAUGUGGUACCAGUGAGAAACCUAAUCCCUGUGGUGGGAGUUCCUGGCAAGGUGCCCCACAGCCCAAGGAUAGGGGGAGCCCCUCUUCCUAACACAGCAUGCAGCCACUUGCAGGUAGGCACCCUCAUCUCCAGGAAGGAGGAAUCCUGACAUCUCAGAGCACCUGCAUGGCGCUGUGAGGGCAGGUAAGGAUGGGGAUAAGAAAAGAAAGUAAAACCACUUAUGCUCAACCAAGAGCAUUAGAGGCAACUGCUCCUUAAACCUGCAUAGCAACCAGAUGGCAGCAGCAGCACAACACACUCAGCUGCAAACAGGGCAAUCCCUUUGGUUUUCCUAGCCCUCACUUCUGCACUUGCAGCCCCUACUGCCUCAGUCAGGAUUACCUGAGGAAUACUGAUUACAGCUGAUCAAGAGUUCUGUCUUCAUUGAGCUGAUUGCACAGCUUGUUUGAAGAUGGCUGCUCUGUCCUCUUGUUAUGCUGUGGCUCCUAAAUGCCUUUUUAUUUAGUAGCUGCUCCUCUGCUGUGCAGCGACUGGCAAUGUUACAUCACAGCUGACAGGUGAUCAAGGGACUUGCUUUAUUGUCUGCUAGAUGGGAGUUUCAUUAAGGUUUUGAUAACCCUGUAUUUUAGGCCAUUAAGGUACUCUCUGUAUCCUGUUUUUCUUUAAUUCCAGUCAGGUUGCAUGCAAUACUCUCUCUUUUGAUUUAGGGGAGGUGAGGGUUGCUCUUUCCAAGUGACUGCCAGGCAAUUAAACAUUAAAGGCUCUGUUUCCCAAGCAGAAGGGUUUUACUGGCUGAGGUUGUUGCUCACAAUAAGUACCCCAUGCCAGUUUCCUGGCUAUCCCUGAGAAGAUCUUCAGCCUUCAGCAUUAAACAAAGACAAUUGUAUGGAAUUCAGCCCAGAUUACAAUAACGAAAAGUUUGCAAA